CCUGGCUGCCAGAAUCAGCGCUCCCGAAGCUUCGCCCGUUCCAUCAGAGCCUGGCCAGCUUCAAGGGAUGUCAACCGUCGCUGCUCGAGAGCGCUCCAGGAUAAAGAAGGUUAAUACCAAGCUCUCGUUCGGCUCCGCAAGCGGCCGUCCCACCAGCUUGCCGUCCAACAUGAAGGCAAACCUUCCGGAACUCUUGGCCCUUCUCAAGAUGCAGCUGACACCUGACGUUCCUGGAAACGGGACAGAAGCAGCUGCUCCCCAGCACUGUUCGAACAGAUACAUGCUGCCUGCUCCAGAAACAACGCCGAGCUACAAUUGUGGAACGCUCGAUCAUCGCAUGUCACCCUGUUUUGGGACAGGAAGGAAUGCGAGGCAAGUGUGUCCAUAGUGGAUAUCGUGAGGCAACUGCAUGAACUGCUGCAAAGGAAGGGCCCGUCCCAGGAGGACGACCUGAUGGAAGUGCUGAGCCUUUCGCAUGCUCUAGUCAUCGAAGUAUGCGGCACCCUGACUGUGUUUCUUGACUGGCGCCGAGGAUUUCGUGUGGUGGACGAGCACUUGUGCUCGUUUGUUUUUACGUGCACCACGAUAUUACCGAUCUGAUGUUUAAUUUUGCGCUCUCACUAUUUAAAUGUAAUGUGUUCAUUUUCACAAUGUGCCAGUUGAUGUAUGUAAUAAAUUAUUCUACCCGA
rnacentral:lncRNA from 1 species